rnacentral:lncRNA from 1 species
CGUACCCUAAUACGAUUUGUUGAGUAUAAUGUUUCUAGACUCGAACCCAAACCAAGUUGGGUCCAAAACCAAGUUUUAGAACCAUCAGGUCAGAUUAAGGUCCAAAACCCUCAACUCAAGUUGGGUUGGGACCCGACCCAACCCUAGGAGCAUUUCGUACAUCAGUAAUAAUUAUACACCUCGAGAGUUUGUGUGGUCCAUGGGGAGGACGAUUUGAUGCUCUAACCGAAGGGUUCAGAGGCCGUUCUCUGAUUGAAAACGGAAAGCCCACAACAAGAAGCAACA